rnacentral:lncRNA from 13 species
UCUGAAUCUAGAUCUUGUAUUUAGAACCAGUUAUGGGAAGUGGAACAUAUAGUUUCAAAACAUGUAUUUUCCCUUAUAGUACAUUUGGAGGACCACAGUCAACAAAUACUUGUGGAAUAUUUCAAGUGAACUUCUCCAGACUUUGUCCCUUGGGAGCUUUCUCAUUAUUCUCUUCUUUGCUCUGAGGCCUGCAGUCCUUACUGGACAUCCAGCUCCAGUGUAGAAAAAAGCAAGAGGCUGUUGCUCUGUGCCCAUCUUCCUGCACCCUUUCCAACUGCUGCUUUGGCUGCCAUUGCAUUUUCUUCCGACCCUCUGGAAAACCUGUUCCAGGGGAAUGUCUCAUUUUUCAUGAGAUCCAUGCCAAGAACUACUUAUUUUAGUUCAGAUCAUCUGAUUCUUGCUAAUUACUUAAGGGAAAAUGAUCAUGUAAAAAACACCUGGAAAGAAGUACAGAUGAACUACUGGACCCCAAAAGAAUAUUUCAG